UGUCGUAUCUGUGUAGGUAUGUGAUUCUUUGGAUAAAUGAUUCACUGUAUCUUCCUCAAAACUAGGUUAUUUGAAAGACUAAGAUCAUUCAACUGAUUGCACUGACUGCCAACUAAUUUUGCAGGAGAUGUUGCAGUAAAGAUCCUAAAGGUUGUCAACCCAACCCCAGAGCAAUUCCAGGCCUUCAGGAAUGAGGUGGCUGUUCUGCGCAAAACACGGCAUGUGAACAUUCUGCUUUUCAUGGGGUACAUGACAAAGGACAACCUGGCAAUUGUGACCCAGUGGUGCGAGGGCAGCAGCCUCUACAAACACCUGCAUGUCCAGGAGACCAAGUUUCAGAUGUUCCAGCUAAUUGACAUUGCCCGGCAGACGGCUCAGGGAAUGGAGUGAGUAGAUGGUCUGAUGCCUCUCUGGGACCCAGGCAUCAAAUUUGUCCCUAAAUUGGAACCAGGAUCAGGAAAAGCCUUCUAGUCCAUUAAGCGAUUCUGUGAUAUCUUUGCACAAGCCUCUGGCCUGGGCUGGAGGGGCCAAUUAUCAGGAAUGAGUUGUUCAGGUUCCAGCUGGGUGGGGUGGCUCACACCUGUAAUCCCAGCACUUUGGGAGGCCAAGGCCAGUGGAUCACUUGAGGCCAGUAGUUUUGAGACCAGCCUUGCCAAUAUGGCAAAACCCUGUUUCUACUGAAAAUACAAGAAUGAACCAGGCCUGGUGGCACAUGCCUAUAAUCCCAGCUACUCAGGAGCUGGGACAGGAGAAUCGCUUGAACAUGGAAGGCAGAGGUUGCGGUGAGCUAAGAUCACAUUACUGCACUCCAGCCUGGGCUGCAGAGCGAGACUCUGUCUCAAAAAAAAAAAAAAAGAGAAGUUCAGGUUCCUCCUUGGGACUGAACUUCCCCCUUGGGGCUUAGAUUCGGGCUCUGCCUGCUACCCUGGCUUUAUCAGAAACCUGAGAAUAUAGUGGGGUGCAUGUACCUUCUGCUUGGACAGCUGUGGCAAUGCCUUCUGCUCAGCUGUCUGAGGCAUGGCUGUCCCACAUGAGGGUUUAAGCAGAUGUCGUUUUUGGGAUAAUUUUUUUUUUUUAAUUAAAAACUUUUUCCUGGCCAGGCACGGUGGCUCAUGCCCAUAAUCCCAGCACUUUGGGAGGCUGAGGCGGGUGGAUCACGAGGCCAGGAGUUCGAGACCAGCCUGGCCAAUGUGGUGAAAUCUCAUCUCUACUAAAAAUACAAAAAUUAGCUGGUUGUGGUGGCAGGCGCUUGUAAUCCCAGCUACUCGGGAGGCUGAGGCAGAAGAAUCACUUCAACCCAGGAGGCGGAGGUUGCAGUGAGUGGAGAUUGUGCCAUUGCACUCUAGCCUGGGUGACAGAGCCAGACUCCAUCUGAAAAAAAAAAAAAAAAAAAACACACACACAAAAAAACACACUUUUUUCCUUAGAGACACAGGUUCUCACUCUGUCACCUAUGCUAGAGUGCAGCGGCGCAAUCAUAGCUCACUGCAUCCUUGAACUCCUGGGCUCCAGCUAUCCUCUUGGCUCAGUCUCAUAGGUUGCUGGGACUGCAGGCACAUGCUACUGUGCCCAGCUAAUUUUCGUGUAUUUUGUAGAGUCGGAGGUCUCACUAUGUUGCCCAGGCUGGUCUCAAACUGGACUCAAGUGAUCCUCCCACCUUUCCUGGCCAGCCUAGGGUAGUGCUUCUCAAACUUCUCCUCUGAAGUAGAGGAGCUCCUCGUACCCCUAGACAUCUGGGAGUUACUAAGCUAUAGCUGUGCUUGCAAGUCCUACAUAAAUUCUCACACUGUCUUUAAAAUUCAUAUGGAAGUUGCCUUCUGUGUAUUUUAAGAAAUGGAAUGACUUUUCAGAAAAAUUGAGAUAUAAUUCAUACAUCAUAAAAUUCCCCCUUUUAAAAUGUACACCUACCUCAGUGUUUUUCUGGUAUUGAGUUGUGCAGCCACCACCACUAAUUUUAGAACAUUUUCAUUAUCCCGGAAAGAAACACAUGCCCAUUGUAUUAGUCUGUUUGGGUUGCUCUAAAGGAAGACCUAAGGGUGGGUAAUUUAUAAAGAAAAGAGGUUUAUUUGACUCGGGGUUCUGCAGACUGUACAAAAAGCAUGACACCAGCAUCUGUGUCUGGUGAGGCCCUCAGGAAGCUUUCACUCAUGGCAGAAGGCAAGGGGAGCCACGUGUGAUGUGGUGAGAGAAAGGAGCAAGAGAGAGAGCAUGGAGGGAGGUCCCAGACUCUUUAAUAACCAGGUUUCAUGUGAGCUAAUAGUGUGUGAACUCACUCGUUACUGCAGGGAGGGCACCGAGCUGUUUGUGAGGAAUCCAUCCCCAUGACCCAAACACCUGCCACUUAGGUCCCACCUCCAACACUGGGGAUCACGUUUCAACUUGAGAUUUGGAGUGGACAGAUAUCCAAACGAUAUACCCAUUAGCGGUUACCCAAUACCUCCCACCCACUUGCAGUCUACUUUCUGUUUCUAUGGAUUUUGCCUACUUUAUAGUUCAAUAUAAAUGGAAUCAUGUAAGAUAUAAUAUAGUCAGGUAACAUAUAAUGAUGUUUCGGUCAAUGACCACAUAUAGGAAGGUGGUCCCACAAGAUUAUAAUACUGUAUUUUUACUAUGCCUUUUCUAUGUUUGGUUAUGUUUAGAGACACAAAUACUCACCAUGUUACAACCAGCUACAGUAUUCAGUACACUGAGGGCCAUACAGUUUUGUAGCCUAAGUGCAACAGGCUAUACCAUUUAGCCAGGGUGUGUAGAAGGCUGUACCUUCUUGGUUUGUGUGAAUACACUUUAUGAUGUGUGCAUGAUGACAAGUUGGCUAACAACACAUUUCUCAGAAGGUAUCCCUGCAGUUAAGUGAUGCUUGGCUGUAUAUAAUACAUAAGAUAUGGUAUUGUAUGCCUGGGCUCUUAGACCUAGCAUAGUAUUUUCAAGGUUAAUGUGUAGCAUGUGUCACUACUUCAUUCCUUUCUGUGUCUGAGUAACAUUCCAUUGUAUGGAUAUGCCACAUUAUUCAUUCAUCAUUUAUGGACAUUGGGUUAUCAGAAUUACUUUAGAGUAAAACUGAUGCUUGAAGAAGUGUCAGCAAUGGUCAGGCGCCAGGGGCCCAUGCCUGUAAUCCGAGCAUUUUGGAGGCCAACAUGGGAGGAUCACUUGAGCCCAGGAGUCAAGACCAGCUUGGGCAACAGUGCAAGACCCUGUAUCUACCCAAAAAAA
rnacentral:sRNA from 1 species